rnacentral:rRNA from 1 species
CUAGCGACUUCAGAGUUUGAUCCUGGCUCAGGAUGAACGCUGGCGGCGUGCUUAACACAUGCAAGUCGAACGGAACUCAUUGGAUCAAGACUUCGGUCAAGUGAAUUUGAGUUUAGUGGCGGACGGGUGAGUAACGCGUGAGGAACCUGCCUCGGAGUGGGGAAUAACAGUUAGAAAUGACUGCUAAUACCGCAUAAUGCAUAUUGAUCGCAUGGUCGAUAUGCCAAAGAUUUAUCGCUCUGAGAUGGCCUCGCGUCUGAUUAGCUAGUUGGCGGGGUAACGGCCCACCAAGGCGACGAUCAGUAGCCGGACUGAGAGGUUGGCCGGCCACAUUGGGACUGAGACACGGCCCAG